rnacentral:rRNA from 1 species
ACGGAUACGACAAGUCAGGGCUCCGCUGAAAAAAUCACUAAAGAAAUACCACAUCUAGAAGAACAUUUACUCCGCAAUUUGGACAGAAAUGGAGUUGUUAGGUUGGGAUCUUGGGUAGAAACUGGUGAUAUUUUAGUAGGUAAAUUAACGCCUCAGAUAGCGAGUGGAUCAUCUUAUAUCGCGGAAGCUGGAUUAUUACUGGCCAUAUUUGGCCUUGAGGUUUCCACUUCAAAAGAAACUUCUCUGAAAUUACCUAUAGGUGGCAGAGGGCGCGUUAUCGAUGUGAAAUGGAUCCAAAGGGACCCGCUCGACAUAAUGGUUCGUGUGUAUAUUUUACAGAAACAUGAAAUCAAAGUUGGGGAUAAAGUAGCCGGAAAACAUGGGAAUAAAGGGAUCAUUUCCAAACUUUUGCCUAGGCAAGAUAUAUCCUAUUUGCAAGAUGGAACACCCGUUGAUAUGGUCUUCAAUCCCUUAGGAGUACCCUCCCGAAUGAAUGUGGGACAAAUAUUUGAAAGCUCGCUCGGAUUAGCGGGGGAUCUGCUAAAGAAACAUUAUAGAAUAGCACCCUUUGAUGAGAGAUAUGAGCAAGAGGCUUCAAGAAAACUUGUGUUUUCAGAAUUAUAUGAAGCCAGUAAAGAAACAAAAAAUCCAUGGAUAUUUGAACCCGAGUACCCGGGAAAA